UACGUAGGGUCCGAGCGUUGUCCGGAAUUACUGGGCGUAAAGGGCGCGUAGGCGGCCAUCUAAGUCAGACGUGAAAUCCCCCCGGCUUAACCUGGGAACUGCGUCUGAUACUGGAAGGCUCGAGUUUGGGAGAGGGAUGCAGAAUUCCAGGUGUAGCGGUGAAAUGCGUAGAUAUCUGGAGGAAUACCGGUGGCGAAGGCGGCAUCCUGGACCGGCAUUGACGCUGAGGAGCGAAAGCCAGGGGAGCAAACGGG
rnacentral:rRNA from 1 species